ensembl:lncRNA
CCUGUCCCGCAAUGGACGGCCCAAGAAACCCUGAGGAUGGAGGGAUGGAGAGGCCCAAGAAACCCUGAGGAUGGAGGGAUGGAGUACAGAGAAACCCUUAGGAUGGAGAAGUACAGAGAAACUCUGAGGAUGGAGGGAUGGAGAAGUACAGAGAAACCCUUAGGAUGGAGAAGUACAGAGAAACUCUGAGGAUGGAGGGAUGGAGAAGUACAGAGAAACUCUGAGGAUGGAGGGGUGGAGAAGUACAGAGAAACCCUGAGAAUGGAGAAGUACAGAGAAACUCUGAGGAUGGUGGGAUGGAGAAGUACAGAGAAACCCUGAGGAUGGAGAAGUACAGAGAAACUCUGAGGAUGGAGGGAUGGAGAAGCCCAAGAAACCCUGAGGAUGGAGGGAUGGAGAAGUACAUAGAAACCCUUAGGAUGGAGGGAUGGAGAAGUACAGAGAAACCCUGAGGAUGGAGGGAUGGAGAAGUACAGAGAAACCCUGAGGAUGGAGGGAUGGUGAAGUUCAGAGAAACCCUGAGGAUGGAGGGAUGGAGAAGUACAGAGAAACUCUGAGGAUGGAGGGAUGGAGAAGUACAGAGAAACUCUGAGGGAGUGGGAGAGAGAGAGAGAGAGGUAGAGGUGAAUUGUCUGGCCCAAAAAUAGAGGGAGAAAAAGGGGAGGAAAGAGGCCUGAAAGCUGAACCUGGAGGUGAAAUGUCAGCAGAGAGGGAAAAAAACGAGAGUAUGUUAAUGUAUUCAAUAGAGAAUGUAGGUCUGAGCAGCUGAAAGAACAAAAAAUGCAAAGAAAGGGGAGAUUUGCCCUUUUUCAUCCCUCCUUCCCUGUGUCAGACAGAUCUACUGUCCCGUUCUGCUCCCGACGCCGGCCGCAACGCUUCCCUUCCGGAAUCCUUCUUUAUCCAAUGGCAGAGUGAACAAGUCUGAUCCCGCCCUCCUUUAUUCUUCCUCAAUCCCUCUCUCAGUCCUGCACACCUCCUCAUCCCCCACUCCCUCUCUCUUUCUCUCUCACACACACUCACACUCCCAAACACCGCAGACCUCACACACAACAUGACCUAAACCUAUUAAGACGACUUUCUAUUUCCGUAGCCACCCUCCUCUGUUCAAUACAAGACACUGGGAUGCAAAUGCAAGCCAAAGAGGACCAUCCUGGAGUUUCUCAUUUCAAC